UCCCGGUAGCGCAGUGGUAGAGCACUUUCAUGUGCAUGAGCAAGGCAGAGCGAGCACUUUCAGCGUUGUCGCAGGUUCGAAUCCUGCCCGGUGAC